CCCCCGGGACAGGAGCAGCGGUUCCCAGGAGACAUGAGAUGACCUCACUGCGCAGCUCUGCACACAUGGAUCCAUGGAAGCCUUCAACUCAGUUUCCCUUCGGGGACCCAGCAGGCAACAUCUGUCCCCGCAAAGGGAGCGCAGACUGCGUGCUCAGCUGACUGGGAAGCAUUCUCGGUGCAGGGCCUUGUGAGCUGAAGAAGGGAGCUGCGGGAAGAAGCUGGAGGAGGACGUGAGGGGGAGAAGGGCCUUGUGAGCAGGAUGUGUCUCUCUCCCUAUCCACACUACAGUCACUCACAUUUGCAUCAGCCGUAGCAAGUGGGAAAAGCAGCUACACUGGUACUAUCCCAUUGCCAUUCACUUCCAUUUCUAUCUUUAAGUGGGCUUCAUUUCCAUGCGUGGCCACAGAUGAGAAUUCUAAGUUGUUGUUAGAAUUUGUUCUCAUACUCAGUGCGUACUGAAGACAGGCAUUGAGUGCCUAUGGAGAGGUCUCCUGUCCUCAGGUUAACAAGAGUGGCACUAUCCCAGUAUCUAUCCGAGUAGCAGCGUGCGCACAGCAGUUGCAGUUGCCAUCCCAGGGCUGCUAUGAAAAGCAGGGAAUCGUCUCGGUGGGGAAUUCUGAACAGGUGACGCUGUUCCAAAGAAGGAUAAGUCCCCAAUGCCUGAAUUGUUCUGUCUGGCACCGCUGCUAUUCAAUAAGUUGCCUACACGGUUCAGUUAGAAUUACCAGCACAGCAGCGGGGGGUGGUGGUCUGACCGUCACAGGCUGGUUUGGCUGCAAUGGUGUCAGAUACUCUCUCUUCUCAGGAGAAGAAAAAAUACUCUCCGUUUGGUAGGAUGUUUUGUUGUUUGAUUUUUGUGUUUGUUUCAAGUAAGCCAUCCCAUUUAUUUGAGGUGUGCGUACCAUCCCAUUAACGCCUUCCAGUUCUGCACUUCCUUACCUGAGGAAUGUGAGCCAUUAUUGUAGAGGAAAUGGACCUGGGGGUAUUGAUUGAUGCUAGACUGAACGUGAGCCAGCAGUGUUGCCAGAAAUAUUGUGGAAUAUUUUUUGGUUGGUUUAGAUUCAGGGAGGAGUGGUGCAGUUCUCCUUUGCUUUAUAUGUUACUUCCAAACUUCACACUAUGCUGAUAACACCUUUCCCCUUUUUCAUCCUUUUAUUGCCAUUAAUGACCUCUGCUUGCUUCUCUGCUAUAGCAGUUGUCACGAGAACUUUCAUAGAAGAGUUUGGGACGUGCUCCAUGUCUCUUGUAAUGAGCUGAUGUCCAUUCCUGCCAUCCUGCAGAUGUUGUCCAUUUGUCACAGAUGG